rnacentral:rRNA from 1 species
UACGUAGGUGGCAAGCGUUGUCCGGAUUUACUGGGCGUAAAGAGCGCGCAGGCGGUCGUUCAAGUCGCGUGUGAAAGCCCCCGGCUCAACUGGGGAGGGUCACGCGAUACUGAUCGACUCGAAGGCAGGAGAGGGAAGUGGAAUUCCCGGUGUAGUGGUGAAAUGCGUAGAUAUCGGGAGGAACACCCGUGGCGAAGGCGGCCUGCUGGGCCGAUCCUGACGCUGAGGCGCGAAGGCGUGGGGAGCGAACGGG